rfam:Dipodomys ordii contig_39093, whole genome shotgun sequence.
GGGAUGGUGGCUCAGUGGUAGAGCACUUGCCUUGCAUGCAUGAGGUCCUGGGUUCGAUUCCCCUGCACCA